rnacentral:ribozyme from 13 species
AAAGAAGAGAAGAAGAAAGCGCCAUAAGAUAAAAACCAGUCUUCUUUUUCACUUUCUUCUUCUUCUUUCCAGGUUCUUCUUCUUCUUCUCCCUCAAAACCUACAACAGAAGAAGAAGAAGAAGAAGGUAAAGGGUCACUCCAACCAAAAGAAGAAGAAAAUUCA